UCUAGCACCGCCGAUCCGAGAGGAGGAUAAGGACCCGGUGUAUAAAUACUUGGAGAGUUUUAUGACUUGUGCACGUGUGAGAGAGUUCAACAGCAAGCCUCCGCCUAAGCUCACCAUUGAGCCCAAAAUCUUAAAUCCUUCUAAGCCAGCCGCUGAUAACACGCCGAAAAUGUACUACAGAAGUCUUCUGACUGGUAAAAAAGCAGCAGAAAGAGCCUCUCAGGGGACGACGUCCAGUGAAAAAGAAGCGAAAAAGCAAAUCGAGAUCCAGUCAGCGUGUCAGUGGGACGGGG